UGGCAAGCGUUGUCCGGAAUUAUUGGGCGUCAAGCGCGCGCAGGCGGUCCCUUAAGUCUGCUGUGAAAGCCCACGGCUCAACCGUGGAGGGUCAUUGGAAACUGGGGGACUUGAGUACAGAAGAGGAAAGCGGAAUUCCACGUGUAGCGGUGAAAUGCGUAGAGAUGUGGAGGAACACCAGUGGCGAAGGCGGCUUUCUGGUCUGUAACUGACGCUGAGGCGCGAAAGCGUGGGGAGCAAACAGG
rnacentral:rRNA from 1 species